GACGAACGCUGGCGGCGUGCUUAAUACAUGCAAGUCGAGCGAGGCCCAUCCGGUGGCAACACCGGGGAAGGCCGAGCGGCGAACGGGUGAGUAACACGUGAGCAACCUGCCCCGAAGUCUGGAAUGACAUCGGGAAACCGGUGCUAAUACCGGAUCGCCCCACCUGACCGCAUGAUCGGGUGAGGAAAGAUUUAUCGCUUCGGGGAGGGGCUCGCGGCCUAUCAGCUAGUUGGUGGGGAACGGCCUACCAAGGCGUCGACGGGUAGCUGGUCUGAGAGGACGACCAGCCACACUGGGACUGAGACACGGCCCAGACUCCUACGGGAGGCAGCAGUAGGGAAUCUUGCGCAAGUGGGCGAAAGCCUGACGCAGCAACGCCGCGU
rnacentral:rRNA from 1 species